rnacentral:rRNA from 1 species
AGAGUUUGAUCCUGGCUCAGGAUGAACGCUAGCGACAGGCUUAACACAUGCAAGUCGAGGGGCAGCGGGGGUAGCGAUACCCGCCGGCGACCGGCGCACGGGUGAGUAACGCGUAUGCAACUUGCCUAUCAGAGGGGGAUAACCCGGCGAAAGUCGGACUAAUACCGCAUGAAGCAGGGGCCCCGCAUGGGGAUAUUUGCUAAAGAUUCAUCGCUGAUAGAUAGGCAUGCGUUCCAUUAGGCAGUUGGCGGGGUAACGGCCCACCAAACCGACGAUGGAUAGGGGUUCUGAGAGGAAGGUCCCCCACAUUGGUACUGAGACACGGACCAAACUCCUACGGGAGGCAGCAGUGAGGAAUAUUGGUCAAUGGGCGUAAGCCUGAACCAGCCAAGUCGCGUGAGGGAUGAAGGUUCUAUGGAUCGUAAACCUCUUUUAUAAGGGAAUAAAGUGCGGGACGUGUCCCGUUUUGUAUGUACCUUAUGGAUAAGGAUCGGCUAACUCCGUGCCAGCAGCCGCGGUAAUACGGAGGAUCCGAGCGUUAUCCGGAUUUAUUGGGUUUAAAGGGAGCGUAGAUGGGUUGUUAAGUCAGUUGUGAAAGUUUGCGGCUCAACCGUAAAAUUGCAAUUGAUACUGGCAGUCUUGAGUACAGUUGAGGUAGGCGGAAUUCGUGGUGUAGCGGUGAAAUGCUUAGAUAUCACGAAGAACUCCGAUUGCGAAGGCAGCUUACUAACCUGUAACUGACAUUGAUGCUCGAAAGUGUGGGUAUCAAACAGGAUUAGAUACCCUGGUAGUCCACACGGUAAACGAUGAAUACUCGCUGUAGGCGAUAUACAGUCUGCGGCCAAGCGAAAGCAUUAAGUAUUCCACCUGGGGAGUACGCCGGCAACGGUGAAACUCAAAGGAAUUGACGGGGGCCCGCACAAGCGGAGGAACAUGUGGUUUAAUUCGAUGAUACGCGAGGAACCUUACCCGGGCUUAAAUUGCAACCGAAUAUGGCGGAAACGCCAUAGCUAGCAAUAGCGGUUGUGAAGGUGCUGCAUGGUUGUCGUCAGCUCGUGCCGUGAGGUGUCGGCUUAAGUGCCAUAACGAGCGCAACCCUUGCCGAUAGUUACUAACAGGUCAUGCUGAGGACUCUGUCGGGACUGCCAUCGUAAGAUGUGAGGAAGGUGGGGAUGACGUCAAAUCAGCACGGCCCUUACGUCCGGGGCUACACACGUGUUACAAUGGGGGGUACAGAGGGCUGCUACCACGCAAGUGGAUGCCAAUCCCAAAAACCUCUCUCAGUUCGGAUUGAAGUCUGCAACCCGACUUCAUGAAGCUGGAUUCGCUAGUAAUCGCGCAUCAGCCACGGCGCGGUGAAUACGUUCCCGGGCCUUGCACACACCGCCCGUCA